CCGGCUUUCUGGAAAGACGUCUAAAAUUGCCUCUGGUAUCUUGAGCCAGUCUCAGUUUUAUGACUGUCAAUGAGGAAGAGUCUGAGGUGGAACUAUAGUAACAUUUGGAAACAUUACUCAUAACGGUAGCCAGAUCGUUGUUCUUCUAAUUUUACUACAUUGCCAAUUACCUAGCGUAAAACUGGCCUUUGAGAAUAGAAUGGAAAUACAAGAAACAGGGUGGGUAUUUUUGUCCCAUGCCAUAGAAAUCAGUUGCAGAGAAUGAAAGGAUCUACAAACGAUUCCGAAAGGCUUAACAAAAGACAUCAAGCCAGGAUGGAGAGCAGGUCAUGUGAUUAGUACCUUCUGCAGAAGCUGAGGCUGCCUGCCUUUGAAGCAAUUGGUGGUUUCUACCCUGGUGGGAAGGGCAAUGUUCUCCUUGUAGAGAGUCUUUCAUCCGAAGACAAUGCAUUAUGCAGAAGAAAGGAGCUUUUUAUAACCACUGAUCGAAUGUCAGACUUUUUCAAACAUCUGUGGCUUCUGGAGACCUUUUGAAGGUGUCACAGCACAGAGAAAUGGGGGUGCUGGUGAGCAUACAGUUAAAUGAGGGCUCCAGAAAUAUACACUGUGACUUCGACCCUGCCAUAGUCUCUUCUCUCUCCCAGGUCCUUAAGGGGAAAAUAUAUAUUACAUGUAGGCUUUGUCUAAACUUCAAGUUAGAUGAUACCCUAAGGAAGAUUGUUUUACCUAAGCUGGUUCAUAAAAUAAAAUAAAAUAAAAGCCUAAGCAGAUUUGUAGAUCUUAACACUGAAGUGACUUAUGGCCUAUAGCUACCAUGGAAGCGUGGUGAGCCGCCAAGAGAGAGCUUGUUUCUAAAUGCUUUGAGUGGAUCUGGCUUAGCCUGUUAUCUGGCUUCACCUUUCACGUUUAGUGCGACAGAUCAUCUGCCAGAUGUCUUGGUUACAUUCCCACUGUUGUGAUAAAGCACUGUGACCAAACACAACCUGGAGAGGAAAUAGUUUACUCAGCUUACACCUGUCAGGUCUCAGUCCAUCACUGAAAGAAGUCAGGACAAGACCUUAAGGCAGGAGCCUGGAGGCAGAGCUGAUGCAGAAGCCAGAGAGGAAUGCAGCUUACUUGCUUGCUCCAGAUGGCGUGUUCAGCCUGCUUUCUUAUAGCACCCAGGAUCUCCAGCUCAGGGAUAGUACCAUCCACAAAGGUCUGGGCCCGUCCUCAUCAGUCCAUAAUUAAGAAAAUGCCCUGCAGACUUGCCUAUAGCCUGAUCUUAUGAGACAUUUUUCUUAAGUGUGAUUCCUUCUUUUCAGAUAAUUCUAGCUUGUGUCAAAGUGGCAAAACCUUACUAGGACACUAGGUUACUACGUCAAUGUUUAAGACAGGGAGGGAAAGAAGAUUCAGAGGAGAGAAGGGAGGAGGGAAGGGGUAAGAAAGGGAGAGAGAGGGGAGCACAUGAGAAAAGGAUCAGUGUAAGUCAGAGAGCCCCAUGCCACCGAUAGUUGCUCUUGGGAAGAUCUCAGCAUGAUGGCAGAGCUAUGGCUGGAGGCAGCCCCAGCAGAAUGUCAGCCCCCAAUAGUGCCCUCCUACGGCCGGCCUUAGGGAGCAUUGUGACUAGGAUCCAGAGAUAAUUUAUUCAGAGGAAUCUUGGGGUGAGAGUAAACUAGAAGUUAGAGGACACUCCUUUGUACUGCUCUCUCCAGUGCUGAUCUAGUGUGUGGCUUCCCUAAGUUGAUACAGGAUUGAGCUUGUAAGGCAAAUCAGCUGUUAUUCCACAAAUCCUUCGCAUGUACACAGGAAGUUAGUUAAAUGCUAGAAGUGAGGGGGGUAACACACCUACCGUUAGAAGACACAGCUAAAAACACUGUUAAAAAUUCAAAUGGUUGGACACGCAAACUGUAUAUGCCCCAGUACAGGGGAACGCCAGGGCCAAAAAAAAAAAAAAAAAAAUGGGAAUAAGUGGGUAGGGAAGUGGGGGGGAAGGGUAUGGGGGACUUUUGGGAUAGCAUUGGAAAUGUAAUUGAGGAAAAUAUGUAAUAAAAAUAAAUAAAUAAAUAAAAAUUCAAAUGGUCUUAAAAAUACUAACUUGUCAUUAACUUCACUUAAUUAGACUAAUAGGGCUGGCAAGAUGGCUCAGUGGAUAAGAGCACUGACUGCUCUUCUGAAGGUCCUGAGUUCAAAUCCCAGCAACCACAUGGUGAUUCACAACCACCCGUAAUGAGAUCUGAUACCCUCUUCUGGUGCUGUCUGAAGAUAGCUACAGUGUAUUUAUUUAUAAUAAUAAUAAAUAAAUCUUUGGGCUGGAAUGAGCAGGGACUGAGCAAGCAGGGUUGACCAUAGUGAGCAGAGGUCCUAAAAUUCAAUUCCCAACAACCACAUGAAGACUCACAACCAUCUGUACAGCUACAGUGUACUCAUAUACAUUAAAUAAAUAAAUAAAUAAAUAAAUAAAUAAAUCAUAAGUCUUUUAAAAAGAAAAUAAAAUAAAAAACAAGCAAACAAAAGACAAGGAAAAAAUAAUUAUUUAAAUUAAUUAUUUAGAUGUAAUUAUUUAAUUAUCUAAUGACCAAUAAAGUACAUAUGGAAACUUAAAUUUUAACACAAUAGGAAUGUAAAUUUUUUCGUGCCAUUAAUGUAUAGUUUAUUUAGUGUUUGAAACAUUAUCUCUGGGGAGAUCUGCUUUCUCACUGUAGCUGUCUUUGUACUUUUAGAAAGGCUUCUUGUAUCUGUCAUUGCUCUAUUUCAGGUGUGAGCUAUCUUCCCCCACUGAGAAAGGAGCUGCAGGAGAUGUAAAGUCAGGACAGUGGUCCUAUGAUCCCAGACAAUGACUGUUCAGUGCUGAAUUGGAACUGUCUACCUUCAUUUUACUUUACGGCUUCUGUCAGCACCGUCCUGUUUGUUGUUUCAUCAAGUUACUUAGCUAAAUUCUCUGUGAUGUUCUCAAAUGUGUGUAACAAUGGAGCCCUUCUCUACUGAGCCCAAAGUCAGCAAACUCCAGUGUGUGUGGCCGCUACUGUGGUCUGCACGAAAGGCUUAGUUUUGAAUCCUGAUAUGCUUAUAUAAGUUUCUCCUUCGUUAUAUAAUAUUUCUUUGUUCAGUGGAAUUUUGGUACAUUUAAAUUUUUGAAUAUGUCACUGUGGUACCAGGUUCAGCCUCCCUUCUCAGGGUGUGCAGGUGCCACCAGCAAACUGGGGGUCCACAGUCUGCAUAAGUCAGAUACUGUUCCAGGAGGGGGUGAAGUGGAGUGGGACGGGAAGAAAAGAGAGUAUGAAGCAGCUCUCUGAGACAAUCCUGGCUUGUUCAUAUUUCUCUAUUGGGGAUAUGGUGGUGGGUUUGAAUUAAACAAAAGGUUAUAUAGUUUCUGGGGAAGGGCGUGAGAAUAUCCAGGGAGGGAAAGGGCACUCAUUGCCUGAAGGAUUCUGCUACUGAGAUGCCUCGUUAGUUCGGCGAGGUAUCCUAGGUGCUGAGUGGUCACUGAUUAAGUGGGACAAGCUGGUUGGGAGUCGCCUAGUUGAAUGCUCUGAGGCAGGUAUGGAACCAGGGAGGGGUUAGCCCUCCCCCUGCAGGUCCCACGAUGAGGUUCUAAUCUCAGUUUUUCAGAUUUCUCAGGCUCAACCUUGCCUGUUCCAUGCCACUUCCUCUGGUGUCGUUGUACACGUGUCCUCCAUGUCACCCUUUCGUCGCACUCUACAUACAUUCAAAAUGAUAAAGCACGUAGCCCAGGGUGUCAGUGGAGAUUUACCAGGACACCCUUGUAAAGCAGCUCCUAGAUGAGACUGUGGCAAAGCAGGGGGCAGAUCCACCUUGGGUUCAUGGUCUCAGCUUCAUAUUACUGCUUCGGUCCAUUAGUUGAUUUAUUAAUUUACAGUGGAACGUAAUCGUCAGGACAGGGGUGCCCAUGACCUUGAAGACCAUCUGUGUACAGAAAAAUGCCAGUUUUGUGCAUCUAUUCCAAUGUUUCCCUAAUGGUCCAAACCCAAGUUUCUUACCUGGUUACUCUGCUCAUGUCUUAGUAGGAGUCUCAAGCUGGGGAUGUCCGUUCGAUCGCUCUGAGUGCUCCCCUACUUGCUCUGAGUGCUCCCCUACUUGUCCCAGUUACGGUAGAGGGACCACUCUUUGCCUAGGCAUACAUACAUCUCUAUCAACAGGAAACACAUCCCCCAGUUGUGCCUUCAAUUCAUUCACUGCUGUGUAACACUACUGAGCCAGCCUGGCCCUUGCCUGCCUGGGUACUUAAUGCCUGGGUACUUAAUGCCUGGACUAAUCUUGCUUUCUUUUACCUUUUAUCUUCCCCACUCUUGCAGCCUAUUUCCCAUUCAGUAGCUAUUUUUAAAAACUGUCUAUCAGAGUAUGCCAUUCUUCUGUUUUGGAUCUCUUCCUUUGACUCUUUACUGCCUAAGUCUCUGGUGUGGCUCCUCCCAUUCACCCUGAUCGUUAAAGCCCCAGAGAAUGUCAAGCUAGUUCUUGCCCUGUAGCUUUCCUUGUUCCUUUUGCCCAGAGACUAUGUUUCCCUGUGUAUAUUGCACAGCCGACUCUAGAUCCUCACUGUUAGCCAGAGGCACAGUCAGGUUCCAACAUCCACUCACAGAGGCCUGGAGGGGAUCAGGCAGGGGUUGGGAAGAAGCAGGUGGGGCUUAUUCUGUUUUUGAUGAAGGGAACACACACACACACACACACACACACACACACACACACACACUACAGUUGUCUACACACCUCACACUGCCUUUACAGUGCUUGCUUUAAGUCAUUUUGACACUGUCUUCUCGGGAAAAUAUAUUAAUGUACAUUUUUUAAAAACUUCAUUGAAAAAAUGGUUUUGGAAAAUGCUCACAGUGGCUUUCACCAGUGGUCAUAUAUUAAAUUUUUAGAUCAUCAAUUUCUGAUGCCUACUCUUAAAACACCUACUCAUAAUCUCAUAGACAUUAGUCAUUCUAAUUUACUUUUAUAAAAAAAUCUUAUACAGUUACAGCAUUUGUUUGCUUCUUGUGUCAGAUAUCUAUUCUCCCUUAUCCUUCUUGCUCAGGACAGAAUAGGGUACUGAGUGUGGGAUCAGUUCAUACACAAGCCUAGAUAGUUAAACCCAAGUCUUUAUGUCCAUUGCCUCCUCUCCCCACAGGCAGGAUUGUUUUUAAAAACAUAUGGGAAGUGUGCUUGCUCCGUUAAGACUGAUUUCAGACAAAAACAUUGGAGGAAUUAAGACACAAAUAUGUUUGGGGUAUUGUUCUCACACUGUUGGAGAAUCUGAGAGUGUAUCUGAAGUCUUGGAUAUACACGUUGCCUUGGGAACCUGCCCAGAGAUUCUAUAUAUUUCAUAGAUGGAUACGCUUGCCCAAACCCUUGCAAUCCUUUUUUUUUCCUUUGGUUCAUUAAUUGGCAGUUAUUUUGAUCAGUAAAUGUGCUUUCAGGGGCCUAGUGGUCACUCAGUCAGUAAAGUGCUUGCUGUGAAAACAGGAGGACCUGAGUUCAGUCACCACGAGUCACGUAAAUCUUAGCACAGACUUAUGCACUUGCAAUCCCAGUGCUAGGACACAGGACACCCACAGAAGCAUCCCAUGGUCGUGCUGGUCAGACUGUGCAGCCUAAUCCCUGAGCUCCAGGUCUCAGUUAGAGACCCUGCCUCUAAAAACAAGGUGGGAAGCUUCUGAGGAACCCAAGAUGUACAUGUGCACAUAUAUGAACAUGACCACACAUAUGUGCACAUACAAACACACAAAGUAUAUGUUCAGACAUUUCACCCAGAUGCUCAUUUCCUUCCACCUGCCCCUGCCCCUUGUGACAUCAGAUCAAACACCAAGACUUUGCAUCCCCAGCCUUUUUCUCUAAAGGUGACUUUUGGUCAUGGUGUUGGUCUUAAAGUUUCUCUCUCAUACACUACUUGUCUUAUUCUGUUGCUGUGAAGAGGACCAGGGCGCUAAUUGUGGGAUCAGUUCAUACACAGGGCCAGAUAGUUGAGCCCAAGUUUGAGUCCAAGGAGACCAUGACCGUGGCACCUCUGAUAAGGAAAGACAUUUAUAUGGGGCUGGCUUACAGGUCAGAGGUUUAGUCCAUUGUCAUUAUGACAAGGAACGUGGGGGCAUGCAGGCAGACAUGGCACUGGAGAGGUAGCUGAGAGCUCUACAUAUAGAUCCACAGGCAGCAGGAGGGGAGUCUGAGGCUGACUUGAACACCUGAAACCCCAAAGCCCAGUAACAUACUUCCUCCAGCAAGGCCACACCUCCUAAUCCUGUCAAUUAGUACUCACUAAUGUCCAAGCCUUUCUUGAGCGCUCCGGACUGGCCAGCAGUAACGACGCUGCAACAGGAUCCUUCUGCACACAUUUAUUGGGAGAGCUUGAUUACAGAGGCGAAGAGACCCCAAGCCCAGAACUGGUGCUGCUUAUAUAGGCCUAGGAGAGGCGUGUCUCACACCCGGAUUGGUUAUGCACUAAGCCUCAUUUGCAUGUUCCUCAUCUGAUUGGCUACUCUCUCUCUCUGUACCUCACAGAGCCUCAUUAUCAUACCUCAUUUGCAUGUCUCACAUCUGAUUGGUUAUACUCCCAAAGCCUCAUUAUCAUGUCUGGGCCAGGCAGUGUCUUUGCAAAAAACUUUACUGCAUAUGUACACAUUGGUUGUUUGUCUGAACUUAUGCAUGAUGGCCAGCAGUAGUCAGCGCCACUCUGCAACGGCACAUGUGGCUUCCCACAAGCCUUUAAAUAUAUGAGCCUAUGGGAACCAAUCGUAUUCAAACCAACACACCACUCUCCUAUCUCUCUUAGUUCCAAGUUCUCAGGAGGAAAUUUCACUAUAACCUCCAGAUUGAGUUAAUCAUUAUUACAAAGUUUUCACAGGGAAGUGAUUGCUACUGAAAGCAGAAAAAAAAAAAAAAAUCUAACCUUAAAAAAAAAAGUCACAGGAAAACUGACUUAUACUAAAUCCUUUCUCCAUUGUUUUCAAACUGAACACACAGUCUGCCUAUUUUACUUGCUACUUUCCAGACGUGCCCGGUUAGAGGUGUGAGAAACACCGGAAACAGUUACACGCCCAUCUGCACGAGUACCCACACGCCCAGGUCUGGAAGUUGUGCUGCACAAGACGAUCUGUCCAAGAACCUUAAACAUUGCAGUCUUAGCUGAGACCUCAGCUGCAUGACCGUGUUAGGUGCUAAGCAGGCACUUUCUCAGGGAGAAUGCUGCCUGUAUCCCUGAAGACAGGACAGCAAAGAGGUGGCAAGGCAUAGACUAAGAAAUGUAGCCUGUAAAUAAACAGAAGCCUGGAAGUGACUUAAUUGAAAUCAGUUCCCAACUUUAAAUUCUACUUUCAAACUCCCACCAUGUAAGACUUGUGCCUGAAUCUUUGAUAUAGGCCUGAUUUUCAAAGGUAGAACACUGGAUUAAAAUCUGUUUAUAGGACCUUCUGACUCAGAUGCCUAAGACAUCUGGGAGUUAAUCCAGACACCCACUAACUCACAUGGGGGCUAGAGGGCCUGUUGGGAAAGGGCUGUGUCCUCUUCACAGCUGGGAAUUUGCACAUCAGGUAUGCCUGAUGAUCUAAAGAUGGUGGAAAUCUAGAGACAAGGGGCUGCUAGGAGAGGAUUCAUGCUCAUCGUGGGUCCAAGAGGCUGUGCCAAUAUAACACAAAGAGAGAACAGUGAUGGGCUGUGGCACAGUGAUCCAGCCCUGGAACAGACCUGUGGGUAACAACUAGGGAGAAGAGAAGGCUGAGCACAUGGUGCCAGUGGCUUCCUGACUGGCUGAGGUAGACUUGCCCCUGAUUUGGGAGGUUCAGAGGGAGAAACAUUCUCUUCUUUCUGUUAUAGAAGAACAACAAGUGAGUUUUGACCAAGAUGAUGGUGGUUUUCCCAGAGGACAGCUAUGGAGUCCAGGGUCCACUGCCUAUGAUCGUGAGCAGCAGCCAAGGUUGACUACUGAGGGCUUCUAUCCAGGGCUCCAAAUUCUUGGCAUACACAUCUGAGAACUACUAACGUCAACAUUUGGGGGUCUGGAGGACUCUGAUCUUAGCAUCUGUGUGACCCACACCAUAGUCUGAAGCAUCCAAUUCCUAACACCUCUGAGUAAAUACAGCAUAUCUUAAAUGAGAUUGAAGAGAAUAUUUUUUUUCUGGGAAAAAUACACAUUUUCCUUUUUGUCUUUUCAACCAUUAUUUUUUCCAGAGCAAAAUAAUCUCAGUCCAUUUAGCAGGUUGUGAAAUGGAUUUAGUCAGAUAACUGAAACAAUGCAGCUGGACAGAAUUGUAGAGAUAAAAUAUUUUGUAAAGUUUGAUUAUAGAUGUAUUCAUGAAUACAUAAUUGGUCAUGGUGUACAUUUAUUCUUUUACUGAGCCAAUAUUAGAGUGGUUUAAUAGUCACUGAUUUAGACCAUUCUCAAUUUUCCUCAAUAUCUUUGAUAUAUACUCAAAUUUUAGAAGAUAUACUGCACACAAACUUAGUCAGGUACUGUUUUGUGCACUAUGACCAUUGUUCUUUAUUCUGGGCUCAAACUUAGAUGGAACAUUCAUUAAAUCACCACCAUCAAAGGUAUAUCCCACAUCUCAGGAGUUUAAAAUAGGGAUUGAUUGGCAGAAAUGAAGACUAAUUUUAAAAUUUUUCUCCUCAACCUUAGAUUUUCCCAACCUAGAAUCUCUUUUUGAUUGAUGUGUAACAUGGUCUAAAUAUAUCUCCCCAAAAUUUUUGUGUAGCAUUUCUUAAGAAGUAUAGCUUUAAAGGACCCCACCCUCCUGAGUGAGAUGGCUAACCUUAGAGGCUGGGCUGUUUCUUUUGCCAUGUAAGGACACAGUGAGAAGCUACCUACUCCAGAGCAGGAAGUCCUCACCAGGUACGAAUUUUGAUGAUGUCUCCUCAUGAGCUUCCCAGCCUCCAACAGUGAAAAAUGUCCUUCUUUAUAAAUUACUAAACAAAGCUGAAAUCCGUCCACGUGGUGAUCGCUUAGGAGUGAGCUUUCUUUUCUGUUUUCAUUUCAUUCCUUUUUGAAUUUUAGAAAAGCACUCUAAAGUCUAGGUAUUUUGCUUCUUCUUGUACAUGGAGCCAUGAAUUGGUAGGAAAUGGGCUCCAGCCACUCAGGCCCCUUUUCAUUAGUUCCCACCGAGUGUUUCUCUGGGUACCAUGGGCUGCUGCUUCAGGUGAAUCCCAGUGACUUUCUCUCUGCUUCCUUUGUCUUCUGAUCAUUUUCCUUCGCCCUUUGCAGGAUGCUGUCUUGGUUCCUCAAGCACUCCCUGUGAUCAGUAUGUACAUUCAUUCUUUUGGCAAAGAUCUCGCCCCAAACUUGCCUGUUUACAAUGAUGUCAGUGUCUUUCUGAGUGUUGGAGACUCUUCCAGUGUAGCUGAGAUGACGGUUUUAGGGCAUUCCUCUGUGAACGGUGCCCAUUCACUUGAUGCCUACAGGACCAUCCUUCCUGUGUAUUUGAUGAAUGUGGUUGAAGGAACAAGUUUUUGUUUCCUAAAAGGCCAAGAGAACACAUAGCGUGGACCCCUCCUCUUCUGUGUUUGCCAUUUUGGCAGAUUACUGGAAGAUGGCUACUUUCUUUCCUUUUUAAUUUUUCUUUCGGAGAUAGAGUCUCAUGUGGCUCAGGCGGGUUUCAACCUCACCAGCCUGAGGAUGGCUUUGAGUUCCACCCGCCUCGUGUACUUCAGUUUCAGGCACAGACCAUCAUGCCAGCAGGACUGUGAUUCCAUUACAUCAAAUCAGUAGGAAGUUUUCACAAUAUCUAGUGUAUAGCUCAUGUGAUAAUAUGUGAUAUUAUUGACCAAUAAACCUGUGCAGUACAGUAAGUUUGUAGAUACUUUGUACAACUUAGCGGGCUUCAUCAAAGUAAUUUAUAUUUUUAAAGGAAAAGAAAUGGAAAGAAAGGGACCAGAGACUCAAGGGCAGUUGCUGGCCCAGGACACACAAACCACUGGGUUCAACCGCUAGUGUGCAGAAGGCAGAGUUGAGGACUGUUGAUGCUUAAAAGGCCCAGCCUUAUGGAAAACUCCAUCUGGUUGAGUAAUUAUCUCCUCCAUCCUCACUUCAUGACCAAUGCUGGAAGACAUUGAUGAACUGAUUGGUGAAAGUAUUUUCGAUAGGAGGAUGAACAGCUUGAAGUAGGGGUGCAAAUGAAGUCUAGAGCCUCCCUGACUACUCAUCUCAUGGCUGCCUUGAGUCAAGAAGGAACUGGCUGCCAUCUGCUCAGCUCACCGUUUGCCACAACUCUGACCAUUCUACGCUCUUUACAAGUUCAUAUCCUAAAGGAAGGGGGCAUCUGGUCGAAUUAAACUACAAUUCUGCUAGCUUGUGAUUUCCUGAUUCCUCGAGGUGGCUGGAACUGGAGAUGAGAACAUUAAUGAGAAACACUAACAGUCCCAUUGGCUUCCAGGGACAAUACAUGACAGCCUUUGGUUCUUACCUUUGGCUGCAUAGCAGAAUAUUUCAGGAAGCUUUGAAAGUUAUUGUCCUGGAUAUGCUGGGGAUCAGCUGCCUCAGAACUUGGUUGUUAGUCACCCUGACACCCAUCCUCAUAGAGGUGUAGGGCUCCAGUAUACACCCAGAGCUGAUGAUCCUAGGAAAUGUUUGAGGAGACAGUUUAUGUAUCUCUUGCUUUUUUUGGUACUUUCUCUUUCCCAAGCAACACAGCUGGGAAAAGUCACAGCUGUGGAUUUAAAGUCACUGUUUCUAGGAGAAAUGGCUCCCAUAUGACUCAUUUAUUAAUUUUUUUAGUUUUUUUUUUUUUUGUGACCUGACUAGUCUUAUGUCAACUUGACACAAACUAUAGUCGUCUGAAAGAAGGGAACCUCAAUUGAGAAAAUGCUUCUAUAAGACAAAGAUUUGGAGCCGGGCGUGGUGGCACACGCCUUUAAUCCCAGCACUCAGGAGGCAGAGGCAGGCGGAUUUCUGACUUUGAGGCCAGCCUGGUCUACAAAGUGAGUUCCAGGACAGCCAGGGCUAUACAGAGAAACCCUGUCUCGAAAAAAAAAAAAAAAAGAUUUAGGACAUUUUCUUAAAUAGUGAUUGAUGGGGAAGACCUAUCCUAUCAUGGGUGCUAUCCAUUCCUGGGCUAGCAGUCCUGGGUUCUAUAAGAAAGUAGGCUGAGCAAACCAUGAGGAACAAGCCAGUAAGUAGCACCCUUCCAUGGCCUUUGAAUCAGCUCCUGCCUCCAGGUUCUUGCUCUUGUUUGAGUUUCUGUCCCGACUUCCUUUGAUGGUGGACUAUGGUAUGGAAAUACAAGCCAAAUAAACUCCCUUUCCUCCCCACUUGCUUUUGGUUGUGGUGCUGUUUUAUCACAGUGGUAAUAACUAACUACGACAGAAGUUUGUACCAGGAGUGGGUAUUGCUGUGACAGAUAUGACCAUGCAUUUGGGAAGAGUGUGGAAGGACUUUUGAAACUUUGGGGUAGAAAAGCCAUUGAGCAUUGAGAGCUCAGGUGGACUGUUCUGUAGGAACUUGGAAGAUAAGAAUUCUAAAAGCAGCUGGGAGGUGGUGGCACACACCUUUAAUCCCAGCACUUGGGAGGCAGAGGCAAGCGGAUUUCUGAGUUCGAGGCCAGCCUGGUCUACAAAGUGAGUUCCAGGACAGCCAGGGCUAUACAGAGAAACCCUGUCUUGAAAAACAAAACAAAACAAACAAACAAACAAACAAACAAAAAGAAUUCUGAGAGCAGAUGAUGGAGGCCUGACUCUUGAAGUUUCGGGGGUGGGGGUGGGGCAAAGACUCUACUGGGCCAUUUGAGUUAAGAAUCUGUUGUAUCUGGUUACCCGGAGCUGAAGAGUCAGUCGUGAUUAACAAGAGACUGGCAACACUGAAAUGAAACUUUUGAGUUCUAUGAUUGAUAGAAGAGGGCCCUUUCUAUUGUGGGUGGUGUUAUCCUUGGGCUGGUGGUCCUGGUUGUUAUAAGAACACAAGCUGAGCAAGCCAUGAGGAGCAAGCAAGUAAGCAGCAUCCCUCCAUGGUCUCAGCAUCAGCUCCUGCCUCCAGGUUCCAGCUCUGUUUGAGUUUCUAUCCUUAGUUCUUUAAUGAUGGAUCGUGAUGUGAAAAUAUAAGUCAAAUAAACUUUUCUUUCCAACUUGUUUUGGUCAUGCUCUUUCAUGACAGUGGUAGUAUCUUUUACUAGGGCACCCCAUAAAGUCAGGAGAAACAAAAGUAGAGAUGUCAGAAACAUGCAGGCAUUACCCUUUUUUGGUUAGAAUAUACAAUUCUAUGUUAUUUAUAUUAUAUAUUUUUAACUUUUUAAAGAGAAAAGGAGAAAGCUUGCAUUUCGCUCUCAUUUAUUGGUGUGGAAAUCAUCUUACACAUGGGUCCAGACAAGAGGCAUCUUUCCUGUAGCCAUACACGUUACUUAUGAACGGCUCAUUUUGAAGCUAUGAAUUUGUGACAUGUACCACACACAGAGUCUUAUGGAGCCAUUUCGUUCAAGAGAUGGAGAUGGUCUGAAAAAAGAGCGCUGCAUCUGAAGGAGGGGCAUUUUCUACACUGUAAAGAGGAUGCUACAUGACUGGGCUUGGGCUUGGGUGGGGGGGGGCACACUGGGAAGACAACGAAAACUAAACAGUCUCAAUGAAGUGUGGGCUUGAUAGAACCAUGACAAAAGUAUCUACAAAGGGAAGCAUAGAUUAAAAUUCUUUUAAAAACCCAGCCCUCGUUCUUAGCCUGACUUUACAGGUGUACAGGGUGAUUCGGGUAGGAGAGAGAUAUGAGCUGCUUACAAGGCUGUUAAGUGACACCCUGGCUGGACUUGGGCUGAAAGGGUAGAAAGAAAAACAAAACACAAAACCCAUCAAACAAAAAGCCCAUCACACGGAAUAACAACCUGGGCUGAGCAGGGAAUUGGAGGUAACGAACUUUUGCCGCCCCCACCAGUUUCUUGUUGUUAGGGGCUGAGUAAUGUGCACAAGGCUGUUAGCAGCAGAGUCUGGUGUACACUGCUUCUGUGAUUCGAGGACGAGAAAUGGACCUGCCUCCCCAGCGGCCUUUGCCCAAACUGGAGCUUCUUACGAUUUCCUCUUUGAUUCAUCAACGGAAUUUCUGUCGCAGCUCGCGCAGUGAUCAUCAAACACUGGUGUUACCAACGGCCUCCUUGCAACCCUUUACUGCUACAGAGGGAAUGGCUACUGCCCCUGCUGAAGGAAUCCAUCUCCAAAAUAAUGAGAGCCAGGCCUCAGUGGCUCAAUAAAAAGACAGCUUUUCCCUGUCUCUAGUUCUUCAAACACCUGUGAAGGUGGUGUCCUUUCUGCACCUGUCUGUGCGUCUUCCUCAAAGCAACUCAGAGCAAAGCGUUGUUUUAAGAAAUAUUUUAACUACAGAUCUUACCUCUCCCAGCUUCCAAUGUUGCUCUCACGUAAAGUCAAGGUGCAUGAAUACACUCUCUGAAAUGUCUUCAAAGUUUACACUCAGCUGGCCUGGUGUUCCUUCUAACUUUUCUCUUUGGUACCUCUGAGAAGCCAGGGACCUUCAGAAACGCACGCCUCAGAAGAGUUUCCCUCUCCCUAUAGAACUACCACGGUCUUUAGGCUGCACAUCCUUUCUGUGACAGAUGAAGUGCCUACUCAUGAAACCAUCUUGCAGGCCAAGCAGCUGAGACUCUGUGGGAGUCUCCUGAGUUGUCUGCUGUUGCAAGGUCAUGAACAGUACUCCCUGCCGUGUCUUCAGGGGGGUCUCCUUCCUCUCCGUAGCUAUAUUCUUCCCUUGAUACUUAUGUCUUUGAAAUAGGAUUGGGGAAAACAAUCAGCUUUCAGAUCAUUUCCUCUGAUUAUUUUCUUGAUGGAAAGCAAACCGAUACUCUUUUCCGUGUGAUGGCUGAGAGGACUCCCGGAGUGGAGUUAUUUUCACUCUUGGACAUGUGAGUGUUAGUAUCCCUUCAGUUUCUUCCAGACCCAGUCCUGGAACACAUUGCACUUAAGGGAAGUGACUUGGAGAAGUACUGACCAUAAAGGCUCUGUCUGCAGUUUUAAAAUUGUGAAUAUUUAGAGGUAAAUCAUUUUGUUAUCAUUGAGAAUAGUUUACCUUAGGAGAUAUGAAAAUGUGGUGAGACAUUGAAACUGGGAUUCCCUUUGCCCUGCUUCGUACAGACAAAUGCAAGGUUUCUUUACUCACACGCCCAGCAGAGCUUCAUCUCAAAGCUGGUGGACAUCUGCUUGGUCAUUUUCUGUGGCAGUGGAGGAGGGAGCUGGUUUCAAAAGCAUUGGUUUAGCUUUUCCUACAGUUCUCUGGGCAGCUGUAUAUUUUUGUCUGUCAUAAGACCACAAAUAGGAAUAAAUAUUUCAUAACCAUUUAGUGUGGUUUUCCGAAAAUUCAAUAAGUCUUCUAAAAUGCAAGUCCAUGGAUGUCUUUCAGGUUGCUAGGACAAAUCUAUUAAAGCUCAGAACAUAAAAAUUUAUAAAGACUGAGCAUUUACUGUGUGCUUAUGUAACAGAAUUUUAUGGCUUCUGCCUUUAUUUUAAAAAAGCCAAUGUGGUGCGUUUUAGUAUUCAUCCACCCUAAUUUUUUUUAUUUGAUAUGUCAUUUCCUUAACACUAUUAUAGAUGGCCCAAAGGACUCCUCCUUCAAACAGAAGCAUGUGUAAGAUGCUCAUAUUCUUUUCCUUACAUAAUGACAGAAAGCAGACACUGCAGAAUGGAUCAUGUAGGCAUGGAGACAGGCCUCGCAUCCAUCUCUAACCCGGCAGUUACACAGAGGUGGCAGCUCCCGGAAAUCCCCCCUGCCUCUGUCCAAACUGUUCAUUGCCUCUACCUGUGUCUGAGGACCCGGUGACCUUAUUUGCUUUUUCCUACACCAUUUUCUAACCUUCCCAUGCAACUCUUAAAGCUUUUUAGGGUCAAGUAAGUACUCUUAUUUCUUUGUAAAAAAAAAAUGCAAAUGCUUUUUUCCCCCGUACUCUAAAUGACUGAGUUCCCAUAUGGUCAUCUUAAAAUUUUUCUUCUUAAGUCAGGCAGUGGUGGCACAUGCCUUUAAUCCCAGCACUUGGGAGACAGAGGCAGGUGGAUUUCUGAGUUCGAGGCCAGUUUGGUCUACAGAGUGAGUUCCUCCAGGACAGCCAGGGCUACACAGAGAAACCCUAUCUCGAAAAAAAACAAAAACAAAACAAAGCGAAACAAAAAUUCCUUCUUCUCUUCCUAUAAGUGACAUUAGCAUACCAUGGAAACCAUAACUUCUAAAUCAUAUUUCAGAAAAAUACUAAAAUAUAUUCAUAAGCACUAUUAAAUUAGCAAAUAAUUCACAGAAACUCAAGAGUUAGGAGUUGGCCAAUGUAAACUGAAUUUUGGUGGUUUGAACUUGGAUCAAAAUUUGACAUUUUCAAAACAGUGCAGUGUUGCUAUUUUAGUUAAAUUCCAUCAUAGACAACGGACUCCAGAGUUUCUCCUUAUUGUUUGUGGUUUCGGUUAAAUAGCAUUUUUGCGGUCUAGGAUUCAAACCUAGGGCCUCAAACAUAGCAGGUAAGAAUUCUACCACAGGGCUAUGCCCCCAGGCCUAGAUCCCAGUUAAUAUAACUCAAAGGUUGUGCCCAAUUAAGUCUUAAAGCUCUCUAAAAGUCCCUAUUAUUUCAGUUCAUGAACGGAGACCAUGCUAUUGGAAAGGAAGUGGGUUUCUGACUCUAACACUGCCUUAAACCAGUCAGCAGCCUAACGUUCACAUAUCCAUUCUCUGUAAACCAAGGCAGUGUGAGAGGAUGCUAACGCACACUGUUUCCCAGCAUCCGCACAGUGGCUUCAAAGGUUACAGCAGGUACCACGAGACACUUACUGUGCACACUGUGCCCACUGUAGAAUAGAGAGCUCUGAGGAGAAGCAGGAAAGAAAUGCAAGAGCACUGUCAGUUUGAUUAAUGAAGUCCAGGACCAACGAUCAUCUUUCAAGGGAGAAAAAUGUCUACAGAUCAGCUGACGUUAAGGGGCUAGCCAACAGUAGUACUAUGAGCUGGUUCUUCCUCCUCCUCCUCCUCCUCCUUUUUCUCCCUUCUCCACUUUCUCCUUCACCUCCUCUUUCUUCUCAUUCUCCUUUUCUUCCUUCUCCUCCUUCAUUAUUAUUAUCAUCAACUUACUCUUAUUCCUUCUCCUUCUCUUUUCCUUCUUUUUUCUCUCUUCUUUCCAAUCUCCUUCCCCCCUCCUCCUCCUUCUCCUCCUCCUCCUCUUCCUCCUUCUCCUCUUCCUCCUCCUCCUCUUCUUCUAGAUGCCUGGACUGGAACCAAAAUCUGGAGUCCAACUUUUGCCACUGACUUGAUGUUGUGGCAUAGCCACCAUCUCCUCGGCCUCAGCAUGGCUGUUCAAAGCCUGAGGAAAAUGCUUGGUGCUCUCCAUGAGGGUAUCUGUGGAGACAGCUAAGCCCAUCCUGGGCAGACAUCCAUUUUGGAGAUUUUGUAACCUUGGUUUGUCCUCUUCUUUCUAUGUCUGUUUGAGGACCUUCCUCUCAAGGCUCCUCACAUUCUUUUGCCAUUCAAGUAAUGGUGUAAUCGGCUAUUGACCUUGUUUACUUUCGUUGCCACAAAGCACUUUUCAGUUAUGAAUUUUAAAAAGUCUGUAUAAAUAAUACUUAGUUCUCUGAUGAGAGAACUGAGGAGCAGAGAGGAUUAGCGACUUCCCUAAAAUCACACAGCAGGAAGGUGGCAGAGUUAGGAUUAGAAAGCAGGUUGUUUAAGAAACAUUUUAAUUAAUUAUUUGAUAAUUUCAUACACUGUAUCUUGAAUAUAUUCACCCCCUUCCCACCCUCCAAUCCCUUCCCACCCAACUUUGAGAUUUUUCUUUUUAACCCCAGUUUAUGUUGGCUAGCUAGUCUUGAGAGUGGGACCUGAUGUAGCAUGUGGUUGAUUUACGAUUAUUAAAUUGUAUUUACAGUUAAUUUGAUUUUAAAUUAUUAAAUUAUUAUUAAAGAAAUGGACUCCCCCUCCUAGAAGCUCUUGAAUGCCAAUCGCUUCUUCUGCCAAUGUUGGUAUCUGCCAGGAUUUGGUGUGGCUGGAGCUUUGGUGGGGUUUAUGCAGGUUGUCGCUGUUGCUGUGAGUUUAUAUCUAUAGCUGCCCUGUUGUAUCUGGAAAACACCAUUUCCUUUAUGUCAUCUACCACCAUGGCUCUUACAGGCUUUCUGCCCCCUCUUCUGCAAAGAUCCCUCAGCCCUGGCUGGUGUGUGUGUGUGUGUGUGUGUGUGUGUGUGUGUGUGUGUAAUAGGAAUCUCAUUUAGGGCUUAGCACGCCAGUGUCUUGUUCUCAGCAUGUUGACCAGUUGAGGGUCUGUGUUCUAUCUACUGCAAGGAGAAACUUCUUUGAUGAGAGAUGAGAAAUGCUGUGAUCUAUAUAUAUAAUAAAAAGUUAUUAGGAGCCAUUUUAACACUAUAUCCAUUUAGCCAAAUAAUAAUAUUCAGUUCUACCCAAGGGCCCUGGCCUAUAUUUAGCCACAGGAAUUAAGUCUUUCUAAUCCUCAUCCAGAUUAAUCUUUUUCAUAUUAGUGGUAUUUUUGAUAAUGUGAUGAAAGCUAUAAACCAUUUCAUAUACAUACUCAUAAUAUUUUGUGUUCUAUAUCAAGAGACGCUCUCCCACCCCCACCCCAAGACAGUUUCUUUGUGUAUCCCUGGUUGUCCUGGAACUUGCUCUGUGGACCAGGCUGGCUUCAAACUCACAGAGAUCUGCCUCUGCUAAAAUGAAAGGUGUUCACCUCCCAGCUUCACAAUUCUCUUAACCCCAUUUGCAGAGGACUUCGAGUUAACCCCAGUAUGUCAUAUCAUUCUACUUUUUCAGGUCCCUGAUUUCAAAAUGGGAAGAGCUAGAGGGGCGGGGAGAACACAGCUGAUUGCAUUGUGCUGUGUUUAGUAGUAUAUAGACAUGUGGGCCUUUCCGUUAUAUUUCUUCUUCUACUUGAGCAUCAGGGGCUUUGAGAAAGCCUUCAUUCCUAGCUGCAAAGUGAGAUUACCAGAGAGCCUCACCUUACAAGAAGAACUUCUUACCCUGGGGACUGGGCAGGAGGGAAUGUGAGGCCAGCCAGGCUGACAAGAGAGGCCCCCUCGAGAAACAAAAUGCUUAAUUAAUACUGCCCUCUACAAGACUUUCUUUCUCUACUUAGAGACGGAGGAUUAAUGGUGAAUGAAGAAGGCUAGUCAUGCAUUGGCUUGCAUUCACACUGAGAACAGACACCAGGGCUUUUACUUGUUCAUCUAUUUUAUGUGCAUGUGUGUAUAGAAGUCAGGGGACCGUGUGUGGGAGUAGGUCCUCUUCUUCUAGCAUGUGGAUGACAGGGCUGGAACUCAGCCUGUCAUACUUGGUGACAAGAGCCUCUACCAGGUGAGCUAUCUUACUGCCCACCCCUUUAGUGGAAAGCAGAACUCUAGCUUAGAAAAUGGAGCUGGAAGAAAACAGCUUAGCAGCUUCUGAAAGAACCUUUACCUAAACACCAUGGUAUAAAAUGUGUCUUCCUUGCUUUUUUUUUCUUCUUUUUGUUUGUGUCUUGUUUGGUUUGGGUCUUUAGGACAAGGUCUCAAUGCAUCCUCAGCUGGCUUUGAAUUUAUUACUUAGCUUUGGAUGACCCUGAACUUCUGAUCCUACUGCCCCCACCCUCUCCCCAAGUGUUAGGAUUAACACAGGCCCUGCUACCUCCCAUGUACGCAAAGCUGUGGAUGGAGCACAGAAGGCUGUGACUACUAGGCAACCAUAUUACCAGCUGAGCCAUGCCCCCAACCCUAAAGGUCAGGUCCCAACCAUGAGGGCUGUGACUACCAUGGCAAUGAAGGGUAUUCUGAACUCUAGUAGUUGUCUUGUCGAGUGUUCAGUGUAUACUGGGAUGUCCCAGCCUGCUUCCUAGAUGAUGGCUCAUUUAGUACAAGCUGCCUCAGAGAUUUCAAAAGCACCCUGAGAGAAUGAGACUCAGCCGUCAGUCUCAACAGCUCACAAUGGGGAUUCUUCAGUCUCCCAAAGGGUUGUGAUUCCUGGUUUCCUGUCAUCCCGAGUGUCAGGGUGACCAAGAGCAAGGCUGAGUGGAACUGCUUGCGUAUGCUGAUGCAGGCCUGGUUCUUAUGGUCUGGUCUCUAUUACUUACUAGGAAUUAGACACCAAACAGUACGAUAACUUCUGUGAGUCUUAAUAUCUUUAGUUGUAAAUAUCUUACUUGGAAGGCUGUUGUUAAAACCAAGAAGGACCAUUGUGUAAAACUCUGAAAUUUCUCAAAGAUCACAUAAAUCUUAGUAAAUAUAACUGUGACAGUUUCCCAACCAAAACACUGCUGCCACUCCUGUGACUUUAGUUAAUAAGUGAAUACAUGGAUACAUGUGCUAGAUUAGUGGCAAGUAUAUACACUACCAAUCAUAGUUAGACUCCUAUAUAAUUUACUGAUAGAUACUAAAACACAACAAAAUUAUCCUUAGCCAUGCUUAAAAGAAGCAGGCUAUUUAUUGUUCGAAAUUGUGGUCAAUAGAAUAUGAUAAAAAUAAACCUGAUUUCCUGUCAAGAUAAAAACAAACCCCACAGAACACUGUGUUCCUACAUCAGCGUGUGUUCACACCGAGAUCCCUGUACGCAGUACUGGUUGUCUCUAAGUCUUCCUCAGCAUUAAUGAUAGUGCAGUUUUUAAUGUUAGCACCUAAAACCUCAUUUCCAUAUAACAAAGUACAUCGGUACCAAAUGUUUCCUCUUUCCUUAACUCUCCAUGAAAGUUUUUGGUUUCCCGCUAAAAAGUGACAUUGAGAAAUUCCUUUAUAGCUUUCUUGUCUUGGUUUGUUUUAUUUUAGUAGGAAUGAUAUAGUUUAAGGUAGGGAGAUCGCACAGCAGGUAAGAGAGCUUAGCUAUACAAGUAUUGAGGACUAAGUUCAGAUUGCCAGAACCGUGUAAAAAGCUAACUAUGCUCACACAUGAACACCUGUCACCUCAGAGUCUAUAUGGCUGUCGGGUGUCAUUAGGGCUUGCUGGCCCAGCCUAGCUCCAGGUCCAUUGGGAGACCCCGCCUCGAGGGAAUAAGGCAGAACAUCACAGAGCAGAGCACCAGAUAUCCGUCCCUGGUUGUGCUCAUGUAACUUCGCAUGCACAUGAGCAUACACACACACACACACACACACACACACACACACACACACUCAAAAUGGAAUGAUAAACUUGGACCAAUGUAGUCAACUGGGCUGAUAAAGCUCCUUGUGAUGUGUUUGGGGAGGGUGUGAAGGCAUGCGUGUGUGCACACGCCUGCAUGGGCUUGUGGGAGGCUAAUCUCAGGUGUCCUUACUCAGUUGCUGCACACCUUCAGACAGGUCUUUCCAUUGGCUUCAGUCAGUACAGCCUCCUCAAUUCUGGGAUCACUAGCAUGUACUGCCACACCCGCCACACCCGUGAUUUUCUGUAGGCUCUGGGGAUCGAACUCAAGACCUCCCGCUUCCAAGGCAAAUGUUAUACUGACUGAGCCAUCUCUCCAGCUUAUUUUUCCCUUCCUUUUCCUCUUGCCUCUUUCUUUUCCUUCCUUCCCUCACCCCUCUAUACCAUCCUGCCCCCUUUCUUACUUUUUCCCUAGAUACUGAGGUUUGAAUUUGGAGCCUUGUUCAUGCCAGACAAGCGCUGAAUUAACUGAGCGAUGUGCCCAGCACCAGGAAGCUUCUCUGAUUCCGGAAUCUCUAAUGAAGUAUUACUAUGUUUCAUUUCUAAUAACCCAAGCUGAGAAAACCACAAAUGAAAAAAAAGAGAGAGCUUGAUUAUUAUCUUUUUUCUCAGCUGUCUAACAAUCUGGCAAUGAAAACCUCAUUUGACGGAGAAAGGCUUCCUAUCUGCAAACAGAUCAGACUUGGGAAACACUGCAACAGACAACCCAGCCCCCACCCCAUGCUUUGUGUAGGUCAAAAAUUACGUUAACUGUUAGCUGGUUUGCACGAUUCUCAAGACUCUCUUUUAGGCUGGCUGCUACAUGAGAAAAUACGGUGUGUUGUUGAGUUCUCCAUUUUGAUAUACUCAAAGCUGGUAAGUAGAAAACACAAGCUUCCUACUUCCCACAAAUCCAUUCUGGGAGCUGAAUAAUUUAUUACCCUCUCAGGAAAAAGGACCCUGCUGUCAGGGUUCCAGCUUCUACUUUCUGCUCCCUCCCAUGAUCCUCCUCUCUUCUUCAUCUCCUGGGGAGCUGCAACAGAGGACGCUGCUUUCUUGGCAUGCUCUUGUUUAUUUGUGGGCGUGUGGACUGGUAUCUAGGAAACUUUCCAAGGAGCACAGUCAUGCACGGUAUGGAAACCACAUGCAUACACCACACCCUGCUCCCCGCACAGCAGCGUCUCUGGAGAAGUUUCUGUUGACUAAAUCUCUUCUGUAUCUCCUGGCUGUCCUCUAGAUGUGGUCCCGAUUGCUUUUUGUUGUUCGUGGUGUUUGUGUUGAUUUUUACAUACUUUUCUGUUUAUAAAGUAACACGUGAAAUAUCUAUGUCUAUCUCACCAUCCUGUCCAGUAGGGUAGCGUCUGGUCACAUGCGAUUAUUUAAAUUUAAAUUAAUUAAAAUGAACUUAAACUAACAAAAACUCAGUUACAUGCUCAAACACAGUAAGGGUAGAGCGUGUCGGACUGGACUGGAAAGCCCAGAGAACGGCUUCUGCCCAGGGGAGGAGCCACACUGUAGAGCAGGCUAACUUACCUUCUCUCCAUAGUUCUACUGUAUCAUACAGGGUCCUUUGCUCUUACUAUAAGUGCUCCAUUGUGUUCUACUGCUUGGAUGGUCCUUAAUUCACUUAUCUACGGAUAAAUAUAUAGAUUGCUUCUAUUUUCCCUGUUUUGAAAACAAUUUGACUCUUUUUUUUGCAUAUUUGCCUUCGUAUACUUAUCUAAAUGUUGAAAAUUGGAAUUGGUCUACAUUGUCCAAUUUUGGUUCAUAUUUCCAAGCUACCCUUUAGCAACUGUAUCAAAUGACUGUAAUUCCUUUGGCCUGCUGUGAGUCACUGAACUUUGCCAUUUAAACUAGAGCCAUUAGAAUACUUACCCUGUCCCUUACUGGGUAAUCACGAGAUACAAGUAAUAUAAACAUACUAAUACUUUAAAAAUAAAACAUCAAGGCCAUGUAUGGUAUUUAUAUUAAUUUGUAUGAUAGUUGUAAGGACAGGGGUGGGAACCACGAAUAUGUUGUUAUCUAGUUUAACACAAAAGAAAGAAUAGUUGUGGAGAUCGGGGUAAGAUUGCGGCCCAGGAGAUUUCCUUAUGGGGUAGAGCCUGUGGCUCCAGAAUCAUUGUGAUUGUAGGCAUAGGCAUUUGCUAAUAGGAAGGCAGAACUCUCCAAGGACACUGAGAGAAGUGAGGUGACUUUGGUUUUGGUGUUAGAAUGGAGAGAAUGAGAUGACAGACCAUCCAACUAUUCUGUUCUUUCUAUACACAACACAAGACUCCAGAGACAUGAAAUGAACUAGUGGGGCUCAUUCCUAGCAGGUGGUGGAACCCAAUACCCCGACUUCUUACUGUCUAGUCGGGGUCUCCUUUAGGGUCCCCCUCCCACCACCCCACCCCCAUUUUGAAGGGUACAGUCAGGAGAUGAUUUUACUGUCUUGAACGUGAAAGUCAUGCUGGUGUUGGGUAACUGACAUUUACUUAGUCUAUUCUUGAAACGAAUACUUAAUGAAGGCUAGCGAGGCACGUGGAAGUCGGACCUCACAAUGCUGCUUACCAGUCACUUGAAACGGCAGCAGGAAUCCUAGAACUGUCCAUGCUGACUCUGGGGCCAAACGACAAAUCGCAUCUGCUCCUUACAAAUGGCAGCCACGCCAUGUCACCUUCCUUAGGAAGACGCUCUGUUUUUAGUUCACCUCGAAUUUUAGUUCCCUUUAAAAAUAGGAAAUCAAAUGACUAGGCAGCCUUAAGUUAUGCAGGAGAUUAGGAGUAGCCUGUAAAACCAGCCAGAUGUCCAGGACCUCCAGGCUCUGUCUGAAAUGGCCUCAGAAUCCCUUCCAGGGAGGCUGUAACUGCUAGACUUCUUCAUGGUCCCUCUUUUCAUUGGAAUGUUCAACUUUAAAAUUACUUUCUAUUUGUUCUGUAAGAAUUUCACAUAUACACAUAACAUAUUUGAUAUUUUCAUUUCCUACUCUUCCCUUUACCUCCCUCCAGAUAGAUCUGUCCUCACUCCUCCCCCCACCCCAGCUUGUGUCUUUUUUUUUUUAAAUAACUUUGGUCUAAUUUGUGCUGCUCAUAUACUCAUGCAUGUGGGGCCUUCCACUGAUGUGUGGUUGACCAGUCAGGCACCAUAGCCUUAAAGAAAACUGAGUCUCUUACCCACAGAAGCCCUCAUCUGUCAACAGUACCUCAGCUAGAGGUGGGGACCACACUCUGUACAUCUCCAGGGGUUGACUUAACUGGAGGGGCAAAGGAUGAAGAAAUCACAAACACACAGACACGUAGGCAGAGAAAACCUGGGAUGGGGUGGUCUGCGCUCUCUGAUGGAGAAGCUGCAGCAUCAUGGGGGCUCAGCAUGAUUAUUUAUAUAAGGGAGGCAGGCAUUAAGUAGAGAGGCAGGGUGAUUGCACAUGGCUGAAUAAGGAGGCAAGUUUGGCUAAUCUUGGUAGGAACAGUUUCUGUAGUAGAGCAGUCGUAGGUCAUAAUCAUGGGAGUGGGGAAGCUACAGGUGGGCAUUGUCUGUAUAUAUUAUCAACAACCACACUGAGACCAGAGGGAUGUUCUGCUAUCUGGCUGAGCCUUGCCCAGGGAAGGCUUCGACACUUCCAAGGUUCCUUUGAGGCUCCUUGACACGGCUGUGGCCACGUCAACAAUGUCAGAUGGGGGACUGUGAGUCCUCCCGACUCUGUGCUGGACUGGCUUGAUCUUGUGCAGGUCUUAUGCAGGCAGUCUUUGCUACAGUGAGUUCAUGAGUGCAACAGUCUGGUCAUGUUCCGAAGACAUGAUUUCACUGCAGUCUUCCUUGACCGCUGGCUCUUUUCUACGUCCUUUCCACGGUUGGUCCCUGAGCCUUGAGGGAAGUUGGAGUAUGAUACAGAUGUCCCACAUGUGACUGAGCAUGACACAGACAUCUGUUCUUUACACCUUUACUAGCCGUGAAUUGUUUUACAGGUCCACUAGCUGCUAGAAAUUGAUCUUCCAAUCUCAUUUAUUCAUUUAUUUAGCAUCCAUAUGUCCUAAAUUAUAGCUGAGCUCUUAACCCCGGAGCUGUCAGAACCCCUCCAGGGAAUCCUGUGCUGAAAUCAAAGAGAGAGUGCCUGGCUUUUGCAGGAAACCAAAGGCCUCUGAGGUUUCUGGAUGGAGAGCAGCUUCUAUGACUCCUGCUGAGGAAGGCUUUGCAUGCACAGCAGUACUUGGUCUUAAACUUGCUAAUAUUUUCAACUAUAAAGCAGUAGAAAACGAGGUAACAGAAUGCUUUGUUCCACCAGACCAAGGUGAAAAUAUGUCACCGUGGAAUAUUAAUUUUUAUAUAAAAUUAAAAAGUUAAAAAAAUUUGGGGGCAUUUAAUUUGAUAAAUUGCUCAUUAUUUCAGAUUUAUCUUUUUUAAAUAUCUUUUCAGUUUUAGAAACACAUACUUAGAGUUGGUUUGAUGGCUCAGUGAGCAAAGACAGUGACUGCCAAGCCUGAUGUGGGAGAAGGAGAGAGGGUUUCCACAGGGUUUCCUCUGCCAUAGGUGUGUGGGACAAUCACACACACACACACACACACACACACACACACACACACACGCAAGGGAGGGAGUUUGAAAACCCGAAUAGUUAUAAUAUUUUCCCAAUAUCAGUGCUUCCUUUGUGUUCAAUUGUUUUCUUCUGUUCAUUUUAAAAUUUAGAAUGUUUUCUAGAACAUUCAUCCGUUCAUUUUAUAGUUUGAUGGUUUGGAGGGAAGGCUGCAUGGAGAUACCGUCUGUGCUUUUAUCCAAUAGCCAUCAGCAUAGCUUGUCCCCAACCCCUGAAACUCCCCCUUGAAAUUAAUUAGAAAAUUAGUUCACCUGCCUUCUCCAUCACUUCUCUCUCUCUUAAGCAAAACUAAUUCACUUCAAAAUGUUUUUCAUUUGUGAUAUUGAGCCAGGAUGGGGAUACAGUAAAACCUUAUUGUCUUUGCUCCUUUUAUCUCCUUUGGUCUGCUCUGAUUUAUUGCUUCUGCUCUAUUUUCAAGUUGUCUAGCACUUGCAACCUGUCCCAAGCUCACUUUUAAAAUAUAUACAAGCAAACCCUAAACAGAUGGCUCUGUUGAUCUUCUGUCUGCUGAUAGCAAAUGGGUUUGUGUGGAAGGCCACUGACUUCAGAGAACCUCCCUGGUGAGAGAGGGUGACGAAAGAAGGGAUUUGCUGUGGUCGUUACAUUUACUUAGGGUUUUUUUUUUUCUGAUUUUAUUUUUGUUUUAUGGGAUAGAUAUACAUGGAGAAGGGCAGAUCUAUGUGCAUUUCAGGAUCAUAGAAAUCACUAAGAUUUGAUAAAUGCAUGUGUGUAUUUAGUACAGCUUGCUAUCAGUAGUCCAUGGCGAUCUGCCUGAAUAUGAUUCUGGUGCCUUCCAUAAAAAGACACAUUUGACAUAGUUUAAUUUUAAUGCUGACUGGUUCUACAGUGCUUUAAAUAUCACUAGUACUAUCUUAUUUUUUGGCAAAAAUUCCAAAGAAGAUUUAAGGAAGAAAUAAGUAAAAAUAUUGUCAUUAUGCCACAGAGAAAUGAAGUUCAAUUAUAACUUCAAAAACCAAAUGAAAUUGAAAUCACAGAGGAUGCAAAAAUAAACCUGCCACUAUCAUCAUCAUCACCACCACCAUCAUCAUCAUCACCACCACCACCACCACCACCAUCAUCAUAAUCAUCAUCAUCAUCAUCAUCAUCAUCAUCUGAUUUCCAGCAAAGGUGACAGAAACAUGUUGGAGAAAAGAGGAUCUUUGCCGCAGGGGAUGCUGGGAACCCUGGAAAUUCACAGGAGAAACCAAACUCAUGCCCCACUUCACACCCUGGGAAAAAUAACUCAAUAGAAGCCGGAGUCCUUGAUAAGGCAUAACUUUUCACGUUAGAGAAAACCCUUGAUGAUACAGCUGCAAGCAAGACCUUUCUGAUAGCUCAGGAGAUAGUGGAGAACUGACAAGCAGGAUUGCAUCAAGCUUCAGCCAUUGAAGAAAACAGCAAAGAGAAGGGCAGGCUACCAAGAGACUAUUCAUUCGAUGAGAUAAGCUUCCAGACUAUCUCACUGGGUAUGACAUCAUGGGCUCUACUACUCUCUGGAACUGUGAGCCCCAAAUUAAAUGCUUUCUUUUAUAAGUUCCCUUGGACAUGGGGUCUCUUCACAGCAGAAAUGUAAGAUAGAUGGGUGACGUCCUGUGAGACUCAUGUCAGCUAAAGUAAUAUUUCAAAAACGUUUUUUUGUCUGAUGGCUGGAACAAAAUGCCUAUUUCAACUAGGUGCUUUAAUUUAUCUGUGGGUGGAAAACAGGACUGGUCUUGACCAGUGCUGGAGAAUUGGAUCAUGUCCAUAGACCUCAAAAAUAACUCUUAAUGGACUCUCAACUUCUUUGAUGCUAAUAAUUAUAAACAUUUUAAUCAAAUAAUUAUCUUACCCAAGAGAGGGAAAUAACAUGUACUAAUAAAAAUAAUUGAAUGUAAAAAUAAUGAAUGAUCUUCAAUUUGAGAUACUCAAAUAAAUAAUAGCUAUCAAACUACUUUUAGAACUUUUAAAUGCCUAAUGAAAACUGCUUAUUUAUCCUUGAUAUGGCUUCACAGGUUGACUUUUUCUUGUUUCCUGGAUCUAUAUCAUGGUAGAAGUAAUUAACACUUCUUAUGUUGGUUGUGGAACUCUGAGCUGCAUUAUAUUUUUCAUAGAUUAAAUGGAAAAAUAGAAUAGUUUUCAAAUUAAUUUAGUUUACUCAUCAGGCACAGUCUUCUAAACCAAUUGUUUCAUUAGAGGAAAAGGUUGGCCAUAAUGAGAAAGCUAGCCAACGACGUUUCUCCACGAACACCAGAUUGGAGAACCACUGGGACAGUGUAGUUAACGGAACAUUUUCACCCAAGCGUGGCUCAGGAAGUGCUGUCUAGAAAGGGUGGGCCUCAAUACAGAAGCACUGGGGCUAGAUGGAGCUCUGGUGGCAAUGCCAUUUUUUACUAGUGUCCAGGUAGACCGUGGGGACUUCAACUCCUACCAUAGCUAUUCCACUGAAUAACCUAGGUGGCUCUGCCAUGGAGGGGUAGCUCACAAUCAACUCUUUUUGAGUAGCUGGAAGUUCUUAAUACGGUAAAUCUGAUAGAAGCAUUUCCCUGGGGGAGUGUAGUCUUCAAGGCACUGCAAUAGGUAGAGCUUAGACAACCCUCGAGCUUUCUGUGAAUUUAGGACCAGCCUUAGGACUUCCACACAGCGUGGGAGAGGAAGUCACUCACACUGACAAAUGCCUGUGUGGUGAGCUUCAGGGCUAACAGACACCUGCUGACACUGAACACACAGGGGCUGUGGUCUCUGCACCACAUGCCUUUCAUGUGUUGUAACGAUGACAUUUCUGAAGUGUUUGUGUCCACAUUUUCAUUUUUGUUCAGAGGUCACACACUCUAAUGAUACAACUAGGAUUUAACUCUCAUCAUCCCAAACAGAGAACAUAAGCAUCUCUUCAUUUGCUGCCGGAGACCUCUUGAGACCUCCUUCCCAACCUAGCAAGUCUGAACUGGUCAUCGCAGCAGCUUGGUUGCUUACUUAUUUGUCAUUUCGGGAUGCUGUCAGCUUUCCUAUGGUUAUCUUCUAGUGGCCAAAAGUCACAUUUCACUUUAUCUGUCUGGUUGAGAAUUCACUGUUGUGAAUGAAAAUCAUGGAAAAUUAACUAUAACUUUUUAAAAUUAACUUGCUCAGAAUGACAUUUUUUUCCAUUUUUUAUUAGGUAUUUAGCUCAUUUACAUUUCCAAUGCUAUACCAAAAGUCCCCCAUGCCCACCCACCCCCACUCCCGUACCCACCCACUCCCCCUUUUUGGCCCUGGCGUUCCCCUGUACUGGGGCAUAUAAAGUUUGCGUGUCCAAUGGGCCUCUCUUUCCAGCGAUGGCGGACUAGGCCAUCUUUUGAUACAUAUGCAGCUAGAGUCAAGAGCUACUGGUUAGUUCAUAAUGUUGUUCCACCUAUAGGGUUGCACAUCCCUUUAGCUCCUUGGGUUCUUUCUCUAGCUCCUCCAUUGGGAGCCCUGUGAUCCAUCCAUUAGCUGACUGUGAGCAUCCACUUCUGUGUUUGCUAGGCCCCGGCAUAGUCUCACAAGAGACAGCUACAUCUGGGUCCUUUCGAUAAAAUCUUGCUAGUGUAUGCAAUGGUGUCAGCGUUUGGAUGCUGAUUAUGGGGUGGAUCCAUGGAUAUGGCAGUCUCUACAUGGUCCAUCCUUUCAUCUCAGCUCCAAACUUUGUCUCUGUAACUCCUUCCAUGGGUGUUUUGUUCCCAAUUCUAAGGAGGGGCAUAGUGUCCAUACUUCAGUCUUCAUUCUUCUUGAGUUUCAUGUGUUUAGCAAAUUGUAUCUUAUAUCUUGGGAAUCCUAGGUUUGGGGCUAAUAUCCACUUAUCAGUGAGUACAUAUUGUGUGAGUUCCUUUGUGAAUGUGUUACCUCACUCAGGAUGAUGCCCUCCAGGUCCAUCCAUUUGGCUAGGAAUUUCAUAAAUUCAUUCUUUUUAAUAGCUGAAUAGUACUCCAUUGUGUAGAUGUACCACAUUUUCUGUAUCCAUUCCUCUGUUGAGGGGCAUCUGGGUUCAAGCCACUAAAGUAGUAUUAUUGCUCAGAAAUGUUCCUCCUCUUUCCCACUCUCUUCCUGGUGGUGCGAUCAAUCCCAGUGCUUGUACGCUUUAGGCAAGCACUCUACCACUGGACUAUAUUCCCAUCCCAAGUAUGAAUCCUUCUCUCCCUCUCUCCUCCCCUCUCUCCCUCCCUCCAUUCUUCCUCCCCCCUCUGUUUUUCUUCCUUCCCUCCCUCCUUUCCUUCUUCUUCUUCCUUUCCCCUGCACCCUCAAAAAAAAACCCAAAAACAAACAAACAAACAAACAAAGAACCAAGAGCCAGACAUGAUGGCCUAUCUUGUAAUUCCAGCACCAAGGGAGCAGGAACAGGUGAACUUUUAUGAGUUCAAGACCAACCUGGUUUGUAUAGCAAGGGGAUUCCAUGCUAGAACAUGCUACACAGUGAGACAAGAUAGAGAUAGAGAUAGAGAUAGAGAUAGAGAUAGAGAUAGAGAUAGAGAUAGAUAGAUAGAUGGAUGGAUGGAUGGAUGGAUGGAUGGAUGGAUAGAUAGAUAGAUAGAUAGAUAGAUAGAUAGAUAGAUAGAUAGAUAGAUUAAAUAAAAGUAAUUAAGGCUGGGAGAUGGCUCAGGGAUCAAGAUAAUCUGCUGAUAAGCCUGGUAAUCUGAAUUUGAGUCCCAAGUACCAUAUAGUGAAAGAAAGACUUGCCUCCCACAAGCUGUCCUCUGACUUCUAAACAUACUGCAAUGUGCAAAUGGACACAGACAUGCACGCACGAGAGUGCACGAAUACACCCCCUAAAAAAAUAAAUAAAACUAAAUGUAGAGGGAAAAAAUAAUUUAAAAAAGACGGUGCCUCAGGUUAAGACGUGAUCUGUGGGUGCUCACAGGAACUCAGAGCUGUAACGCUGCCUUGCUGUAAACGUAAAGAAAUUUAAGUUUUGGUGCAUUGGUUUCUUUUUCAGAAAACAAAGAUAAAUCUGACUGUAAAAUUCUCAGACAGGAAAAAUGUCACUACUGUCUACAGAAGACAUCAACAUGGACUGCUGCUGCUGUACUUUCUUCAUGUAUUCUUUUCUAGAGAACUUAUUUCUAUCAUUUAAACUAUGUGUAGGUGUGCAGGGGCGGGGGGAAGCAUGACAAAGGCAUAGUAUAGAUGUGCACAGAGGCCAGAGCCAUCCAGUCCUUGAGAGCGUUACAGGCAGUUGUGAGCUGCCUGACAUGGGUGCUAGGAACCAAACUUGGGUCCUCUGGAAGAGCAACACAUGAUUUUAGCUAUUAACCUACCUUUCAAGCCCCUUCCAGGUUAUUUUUUGAGGAAAGCUUUUAAAAAUAUUAUUUGUAAUUGCAAAUGCUUUUAAAAGUGUUAUUAGUAUCUACAGUAAUUGUAAAGAAAAUGGGCAAGAGAAGAUAUUAAUUACCAAACAAAAUUAUAUUUUAAAAAGAGACGCAACAUACUAAUGUAUUUGCAGAUAAAGAAGGUAUACCAGAAAGAUAUGCCCACAUCUAUGGAAAUGAUAUGAAAUUCUCCUGAUGAAGCCAAAAGCUACUAAGAAAAUGGUUUAAAUUAUGAAAUGCAAACAGGAGUAAGACUUGGAAACACUCAGGCUGAGAAGAUAGCUCAAUGGGUAAACUGCUUGCUGGGUAAAGUGUGAGGACCCAAUUUCAGAUCCUUAGCAUCUGAAGAAAGCCAAGCACAGGCCUGUAAUCCCAGCACAUAAACCAGAGGCUGAAUAACCCCAGGGGCCUCACUGGUCAGCUAGAGUAGACUAUCAGUGAACCACGGAAUCAAUGAAAGAGCCUCAGAAAAUAAGGUAGAAAAUGAUAGAGGGAGGAUACCCAGGGCCAGCUUUGGCAUCAGUGAGUUUAUUCACAAACAUGUACAUGCACACAUAUGUACACACAUACUUGAAUUUGGACAACUCAAGUUUCCUUAUUAAAGAGAAGGAAGAUCUUUAAAAUCAGGCGGAAAAAAAAAAAAAAAAAAAAAAAAAACCUCUGAAAAUUAGAAGUAAGCUCGGUGUGGCGGUGUGUGCCUUUAAUUCCAGCACCCCAAAGGCAGAAUCAGACAAGUUUCUAAAUUCAAUGUUCGCUAGGUCUACACAACAAGUUCCAGACCAGCUGGGGCUGUAUAAUCAGACAGUAUCUGAAAAAGAAAAAGAAGAAAAAAUAAAAGAAAGAAGGGAAGAGAAAGGAAUGAAGGAAGGUAGCGAGGGAGAAAGAUUGAAAUUUUUAGGAAAGGAGCCUAAGCUAGAAGGAAAGAACAAAUGCACACGAGCACAGCAGGGGAUAACUUAGGGAUGCUGGACUCGUAACAGCUCCAACCUGGAGACAACCCAGAUACCCAUCCACUGGUAAACACACACACACACACACACACACACACACACACACAAAUACACAGAGAGGGGUGAAAGGGAAAGAGAGGGAGAGGGGGAGAAGGAGAGAGAGGAAAAUGUCUCCCAUAUAGAGGACAAGAGGACCUACUGAGAACAUAACAAAUUAACUACUUUUGUGUACAGUCACAUUGAUACAUCCCAAAGCAUUAUGUUGCAUGAAUUACAUAAAGCACAAUAAAAACUGCGUGCUGUGUGACUCCAUUUAAAUGACAUUCUAAAAAUGGCAAAUAUCUAGGGGCUGAAAACUGUGGUAUGUAUCUCGGUCUUGCUGCUGUUUAUCUUCAAUAACAGUUGCCAAACUCUACACUUAAGAAGAUAAAUUAUAUUGCAUGUAAAUCAUGUCUUAGUUAAAAAAAAAAGAUAAGAGGAUUUGAGAAAAAGUGAUCACCACAGGCGUACGGCCAGGAAGUUUGAACUUGUGCAUCUCAGGCACCUUGGAGAAGAAGCUGCGGCAGUGUGGUCCCGAGCAGGAAGUCGCCCAGGCUCACGAAAGUUCCUCAAAUAAGGCUGUAGGUGACUGAAAGGCAAGCCAGUGAUUCAGCUGUUCUGGAGUGGAGACCACAGUCACACUUGAAGGAAAUUAGGGUAUGUUGUUCCUGUGAGUGGUUCUGGUGGGAUCUUUUGUAAUCAGAAUGACUACAGAGAUCCCCACAUCCAUGGAGCAUGAAGCUCGCAGUGAAUUCUUCUCGCUAAUAAAAUCACGAACGGGAAGACAUCAUAUGCAACCCUCUUGCCAAAACCACACACCACCGUAUAUCAAUCAUUCUGAGAAGGGUGGGGAGAGAGGAAUGAAGAAAAAGAAGCCUAACCACAAGCAAGCCUCCAGAUCUGCCAGUUUUCAGGAGAGGGGAUUGUGCUAAACAAUUCGAGUACAGUAAGCAAAAAAAAAAAAAAAAAAAAAAAAAAAAUGGAGUCUGGGAAACUUUGCAGGGCAUACAAGCCUGUUCCUUCAGCAGAACUCCAGGAAAGAGAAUUCAGGGAUAGAGCAAAUGUGACAAUAGAGGUAAGAAGAAACGCAUUACCACUCAGUGGCUGUACCCCUUUUUGGGUAAUGAUUAAAAAUAUAAGGCAUAAGAACACGACAGUUGAGAGAGUGCAGGCAGUAAUUUAUAUUUUAACACUAAGGAGUUAACUUUAAAUGGAAUCUACAGUGGCAUUGUGGUUAUAGUUACAAAGCAGGCAGGGCUCUUGUGUUUUAGCUGUCUGUACUGCAAUCCCACUGUGUACCCGCUUUGCUUACCAGAAGGCUUAAUUAUAAUUGGGGGAACUCAGAUAAAGUGGGACUGGCUGAAGACCCCAUCUGAUUUGCUCAGUGAUGGAUUCAUGGAAGCUUAUGAUUCUUUCUUACCCUGCUUUUAUAUCUUUGACAUUUUCCAGAAUGAAAACUUUUUUUUUAAAAAUAGCAUUCAUAUAAGACUUCUCACAAACCUGUAACAAAAACGUUAUCGUCCACAUAGACAGGAAGUGUUAUUGCAGAGGUGAUCAUUGGCCUCAAACGUGGAGGCCCAUCCUCAGACACCCUGUCUUACCGCUGCUUGUUUGACCGUGUUAUCUUCAAAUCAGAGAUGGGCAUAUCAUGGGUUGGCUUUCUCUUCCCAGUGCUCUGACAGCCAGCUGUGAGCCCUGAGGUAGUGACACUCCUUUCAACCGGAGCCCUCCGCUCCCUUGACUCACAUUGCUCAACUCUCCAUCCAUCACCACAGAUGAAAAUGCCCUGCUUUUAUUUGCUUCUGUUUCCCCCUCUCAUUUUUGACUUUCUUCUUUCUGUCCCGCUGCCGUGUCUCCCUGAACCCCUUCCUUCACUUCGCCAAGUGACUUGUCGCCUGCUGGCUGUGCUCUGGACACCAUCUCUCUGCCCCUCCCACACUAGUGAUGGCCUCUCUACCUCUCCAAGCACUGGAUUCGGCAAAGGAACCUUUCACUGGGCAUGUGCAGAGCUGGAACCUGAUAAGAACGCUCAUAAUUACACGCUUAUUGUUGGGGAAGAUGCUGGCAUCUUGAAUGCCAAGGACAUUGAGAAGAAAUGACAUCAGAAAGGCUAGUUUUAUACCCCAAAUAUUCCAUACUCUAUACUCCUGGAGGAGUGCCAAUCUUCGUCCCUAUAUGCCUUGCUUCCUACCCAGGAAAUGAGUACACUGAAGCCUUCAGCAACAACACAUAGAUCUUUCAAGGCACACGGCAUUAAAGUGGAAGAUCCUUGUGGGCUGGGACUUUGCUGAUUUGGGUUUAGGCCUCUGUGUGUAGAUAUGCUGUGGCUGCAAGCUUCUACAGGAUGUUAAACACUUUUGCUGAGGUCCAGUGGAUGAAGAUCUUUGCUGGCUCACCCAGCUGCAGUGCCACAUGAGAAAGUGUGGUUUGAAGCAGUGGGUUUUUCACUUUUGGUGUACUUUGCUGUCUUCCUGCUUCUGAACAUUGUCUUUCUCAAGUACCUCCUGUAGACACUCACGUUUCUUCCUCCUUAUCAAAGUCCUACCAUCAACAUGACAACCUUCAAAGACUCGCCAGUCCCCCAGUGCCCUGCACAGCAGUUGGGCAAAAUCCUUUGCUGAAAAAUUUUCACAUUGUUUUCAUCAACAUUAAUAUUUCUAGAUAUCCAUCGCAGACCAUCAGUAGUAAAUAGCUCUUCAUAAAAUAGGAAUGGGGGUCCUCUUGCUCCUGCUCUUGCCUUCCUGUUCCUGCUCUCUCGCUUUUCCUUUCCCCCCUCUCUCCAUGUGUGCAUGGCCGGCCUCUACUUCUCUCUCUGCCUUUCUCUGCCUCUACAAGCCUUUCAACUCCCCUACCCAUGCCCUGAAUAAACUCUAUUCUAUCCAAAAAAAAAAAAAAAAAAAAGGAGGGCUGGAGGGAAGGCGCACAUAAAUAAAAAUAAUAAGUCUUUUAAAAGAGAGAAAAUGAAGGGACUAGGGGAAAGGGAGAUGGAUUGUCUUGCAACCCUUAUGACCAGAGUUCCAUUCCCAGAACCCAAGUCAGAAAAGGUGGGUAUGGUGCUGUGCCUCUGUAAUACCAGAGUGCUAUGGCAAGAAGGGAAGUAGGGGCAGGAAGAACGUGUAAGAACUCACGUAUCAAGAAAGACCCUGAUUCAAAACCCAAAAAAACUCACGACAGCAGAGGAACAAGGUCGAGUGAGAGAACUAAACCUCUGUGACGUGUAUUUACAUGAAUACACACACACACA